AGAAUAUGAGAAAGUACACCCAGUUAUAAUGGAUGACCAAUCGUUGUGCUGUUCUGGGAUGCUUCUCUAAUUGUUUGAAGGAAACGGACAGUUGUUUUUGUGGUUGUGUUAUGUAUGGGGAUCAUCUCCUCGUCAGUGUGGAAAGAUAUUCUACAGUUUCUCUGAUGCGUGGCGUCGAGGAUUCUUCACUGGACUCUGGAUCGGCUCACUGAUUGAACUUGCAGCCUAGUACAAUUGCGCUUGAUGUUCGUUUGCAACUGGACAUCCUCUGAGGUCGUGAGUACUACAAAGCCCGUGCAGUAACGUUAACCAUUUUGUUCGCUUUGAAAGCGAAGCGGCCUUUGUGUUUUUGGCCACCACGCUCUCAAGCUACGUCACAGGCCUGCAACGAUUUAUUUUUGUUUGAGACUGUGUGAAUGAAUGUGUGGGCCUACUUGAUUUUUUGUCAUUAAGGUUCAACUAAGUUGAAAGGUUAUUAAUCUGAUUUGGGUGUAAAUUGAAUUGAGGAUUCAUAUUGGAAUUGUUUCAAUUAUAUUCUGCUUAUUAUUUACCUGUUUCCUCCUAAAUGCAACAUAUUUAAUCACAAUAAUUGAACGUUUUAUUUUCAUAUUCUUUUAUUUUUCACAGUAAAUUGUAUAUAAGUACUCCA